UACGUAGGGUCCAAGCGUUAUCCGGAAUCACUGGGCGUAAAGCGUGCGUAGGUGGAUUGUUAAGUGCGGUGCGAAAUCCUGUGGCUCAACCAUAUGGACUGUAUCGCAUACUGGCAAUCUAGAGGACAUGAGAGGCAAGUGGAAUUACUGGUGUAGCAGUGAAAUGCGUAGAGAUCGGGAGGAACAUCAGUUGCGAAGGCGGCUCUUUGGACCAGCACUGACACUGAGGCACGGAAAGCGUGGGGAGCAAACAGG
rnacentral:rRNA from 1 species